ensembl:lncRNA
AUUUUUGGGGGGGACAAAUCCACCUGUUUCUAAUAUUGGGUGGGACAUGUCCCACCCAUCCCCCCCCGGUUCCUACGCCUAUGUUUCUGUGAGUGUUUAUUAUUAAUUUAACACUAAUAUUUUUAUUAUUAGUAACACUAAUUGGUAUAUGCUGUUAGCUAUUACUGUAGCUAUAUGUUAAUAUUAACAUAUGUCAAUAUAUUAAAGAAAUUAACGUUAAACGUUAAACAUGAGAGAUCGGACCGCGGAGCAGCGCGCGUGGGGGCGGGGCGUGUCUGAAAGCAGGUGGGAUUGAAACUCCUCGGUGCAGAAGUGAACACUUGUGUAACGUCACUUCCCGGAUGGAUGAGAGAAGGUGCUGAGAGCAGGCUGAUGAUGGUGAUGGUGAUGAUGAUGGAGAUGGUGAGCAGGGAUGUUGGGGGAGAUUUCUGGGCGAACAGCUGAUCUGCGGAUGAUCUGAGAGGCUCCCAUUUCUCCAGAAUGCAGCAGUACUGGUCGGUCUGGUUCUCAGUAGUGAGCUCAUGACCCUCACUGUGAUCAGGGGGGUGUUUUGCUGCAGCUGCUCUGACCCACUCUGAGGGUUCAGCAUGGCCGGACCCUCCACUGCUCCCCGGAAGCGGCAGGUGCGUUUUUCUGCUCGUCAUGAUAUCCUGCUGCUCAGGGAGGUCAUUGCUCAGAACCCCUUCACCUCUAAAGAAUCGGGGCGUAUCUGGGCUCGGGUCGGGGAGAUCAUCACUGCUGCUCUGCAGGACGAGAACUUUGAGGUGGACGGCCGCAGGUGCAGGGAGAGGACUAUGCUGCUUCUGGACUAUUAUAAAAAACAGGACUUUCCCAGUCUGCGCAGAUUCGGCACCGAGAGGCUCUACGCUCAGAAGGAGGACCUGCUCCAUGAAGUUCUGGAGCUAGAGGCUGAGAAGAACCUGAUAGCCAGUGGAGAAGGAAAAUACCAGGAUGACGAGCUGAAGAAGCGAGCGCUGGAAGAGUUAGCUCUGCCUGAGCAGGACAAACCCACCAUGAUCUCGACAGCACCAGCAACUGGUGAGGAGCCAUCAAACAUGUCUGGAGCACUGGAGCCAGACGAUCAGGAGGACCUGGCCGAGCUGGCGGCACCCACAGCUAAGCGUCCAUGCCAGUGCUGCUGCCAGACUUACUCAGAGAUCCUGAGUUUCCUGGAGAAGCGCUCCGAGGCUGAGCAGCGCCUCCGUGAGGAGGAGAUGGCGCUGCGCAGGGAGGAGCUGGAGAUCCAGAGGAGUAAAAUAGCUCUGGAGAGGGAACGACUCGGAGCUGAGAGGAAGGAGCGGGAACGGCGGUUUGAGCUGGAGAGCCAGGAAAGACAGGUCAUUCUCGAUCUGCUGAAAGAGAAGGUGCUGAAGAGCGAGAAGAACUCAGAAAGCUGACUCUUUCUGUCAGCUGGCAUCACUCUUCAUAUAGACACUGUUCUAGAUUGGUAGUACUUUAGGCUACAGCUCAGAAUGAUGAGUUGGACUACAAUGAUUUGGGCAACAACCCAAAGGAUUCACAAUGACUGGUUGUCUCAGCUCAAUCAGAGACUUAUAUUUAUACUUGUCUUAUAUUGGCAGUUAUAUGGUUUAGCAAUGGGAACUACCAGUAGUGUCAACUUGUAACAUAUUGAUCCCCAGAGCCUGUUAACAGCCUUAACAAAAGAGGUUCUGUGUAGUACUAAAAGUGUUUUUAAACUCAUAUUGAUGGUGAAACCCUUUUUUGGUGCUUAAUAGAGCCAUUUUUUUGUUUGCCACCAAUUUGAAAAUAUCUAACAUGACAAAUUGCCAUGACUUUAUAAAGAAUCAUUGAGUUUACAAAGGAACCCUUGAAAAACCCUUAUGUGUGUAUACUAGAGCUGUGCAUUGGCUAGAACUUGAGAUGGGAUACAUAUCACGAUACAGAGGUUCCAAAUAAAUAUUUUGUAAUAUUUUGCGACA